rnacentral:rRNA from 1 species
CCUACGGGGGGCAGCAGUGAGGAAUAUUGGUCAAUGGGCGAGAGCCUGAACCAGCCAAGUCGCGUGAAGGAUGACGGAUCUAUGGUUUGUAAACUUCUUUUAUCUGGGAAUAAAGUGAGGGACGUGUUCCUUUUUGUAUGUACCAUAUGAAUAAGCAUCGGCUAACUCCGUGCCAGCAGCCGCGGUAAUACGGAGGAUGCGAGCGUUAUCCGGAUUUAUUGGGUUUAAAGGGUGCGUAGGUGGUUAAUUAAGUCAGCGGUGAAAGUGUGGGGCUCAACCAUAAAAGUGCCGUUGAAACUGGCUGACUUGAGUAGACGAGAGGUAGGCGGAAUGCGUGGUGUAGCGGUGAAAUGCAUAGAUAUCACGCAGAACUCCGAUUGCGAAGGCAGCUUACUAA